rnacentral:snRNA from 1 species
AUGCUCAUUUCAGCAGCACAUAUACUAAAAUUGGAACGAUACAGAGAAAACUAGCAUGUCCCCUAUGCAAAUUCAUGAAGCAUUCCACAUUUUU